AGCAGGUGUCUCUUUAAGUACUUAUUCUAAAUGGAACACAACUGGGCGACAUCAGAAAGGGCACUGUUGACAACUGUCAUAGCAGGUUCCAGCUUGAAUGGUAACUGAGCAGAAGGUAUCUCUCCAGAGUACUUCAGAUCAUCCUAAAAGCAGCAUCAUUUCCACCAGGAACCCAGCUUCUACCAGAAAAGAGUGCUGGGAAAUGGUGCUUCUGGAUUAUCCAUCUGCAAAAUAAAAGCAAUUGCAAUUUCUGCAUGACUGCAAGAAAAAUAGAUACUAUUCCUUAGUAUGCUAUUUUACAAGUUUCUUAAAGGUUAUUUGAAAUUUCAGAUGGUAACAAGCUUGGAAUUGUCUUUUUCUUCAGCUAUGGACUGUAUCAAAGUUUAUGGGCUAUAAUUGUAUUUUGGUUUCUGCCAGGCAUCAGGAUAGCUCAUUUGCAUGACUGGUACAAAAUUUACUUAUUCAGUGAAUCAUGCUCAGCUGCUGUACUGUUCAAUCUGUAAUAAUAACUGCAGGGUGACUGACUAACGAUAACUAAUCUUCUCUCAACUACAAAAGCAUGUAAAUUAGUAAAAUAAAUGUUUAGUUGUGUAUGUGUGUGUGUUUGCAUGUUGGAGUUGGGGUGGAUUAUGCUCUUCAAUUUCAAUGCAACGCUGCACACCCUUAAUCAAUCUGGAGAAAAAAAUGUGCAGAAAAAUGACAGUCAAUCCUAGCCACAAAUCAGUAGUCAUUAUAUCCAUUCUCUUAGCCAUGAAUAUGACAUAAAACUUUAUAAAUGAAUACAUUGUCUAUUUUUUAGUGGUGAGGUGUAUUAGUCUGUUCUCAUGCUACUAUAAAGAGCUGCCAGAGACUGGGUAAUUAAUUUUAAAAAAGGUUAAAUGACUCAUAGUUCUGCAUGGCUGGGGAGGCCUCAGGAAACUUAUAAUCAUGGUGGAAGGGGAAGCAAACAUGUCUUCUUCACAUGGCAGCAGGAAGGAAAAGUGCUGAUCCAAGGGGGAAAAGACCCUUAUAAAACCAUCAGAUCUCAU
rnacentral:lncRNA from 1 species